rnacentral:tRNA from 1 species
GGGCUACUGGUUCAUCGGUAGAACGCUUUCCUGAUAAGAAAGAGGUGCCAGGUUCGACUCCUGGGUAGCCCACCG